ACUACAGCCACUACUACAAGACCAUCCAGGACUUGCGGGACAAGAUUCUUGGUGCCACCAUUGAGAACUCCAGGAUUGUCCUGCAGACCGACAGCGUCCAUCUAGCUGCAGAUG
rnacentral:pre_miRNA from 1 species